rnacentral:rRNA from 1 species
UGGCUCGAGGACGACGCUGGCGGCGUGCUUAACACAUGCAAGUCGAGCGGAAAGGCCCUUUCGGGGGUACUCGAGCGGCGAACGGGUGAGUAACACGUGAGUAAUCUGCCCUUGGCUUUGGGAUAACUACCGGAAACGGUGGCUAAUACCGGAUAUGACCAUGCUCGGCAUCGGGUGUGGUGGAAAGUUUUUUCGGCCAGGGAUGUGCUCGCGGCCUAUCAGCUUGUUGGUGGGGUAAUGGCCUACCAAGGCUUCGACGGUAGCCGGCCUGAGAGGGUGACCGGCCACACUGGGACUGAGACACGGCCCAGACUCCUACGGGAGGCAGCAGUGGGGAAUAUUGGACAAUGGGCGGAAGCCUGAUCCAGCAACGCCGCGUGAGGGAUGACGGCCUUCGGGUUGUAAACCUCUUUCAGUACCGACGAAGCGCCGAUGAUGGUGGUGACGGUAGGUACAGAAGAAGCACCGGCCAACUACGUG